rnacentral:rRNA from 1 species
AUUGAACGCUGGCGGCAUGCUUUACACAUGCAAGUCGAACGGCAGCGCGGGUUUCGGCCUGGCGGCGAGUGGCGAACGGGUGAGUAAUGCAUCGGAACGUGCCCAGUAGUGGGGGAUAGCCCGGCGAAAGCCGGAUUAAUACCGCAUACGACCUGAGGGUGAAAGCGGGGGACCGAAAGGCCUCGCGCUAUUGGAGCGGCCGAUGUCGGAUUAGCUAGUUGGUGGGGUAAAGGCUUACCAAGGCGACGAUCCGUAGCUGGUCUGAGAGGACGACCAGCCACACUGGGACUGAGACACGGCCCAGACUCCUACGGGAGGCAGCAGUGGGGAAUUUUGGACAAUGGGGGCAACCCUGAUCCAGCCAUGCCGCGUGCGGGAAGAAGGCCUUCGGGUUGUAAACCGCUUUUGUUCGGGAAGAAAUCCUCUGGGCUAAUACCCCGGGGGGAUGACGGUACCGGAAGAAUAAGCACCGGCUAACUACGUG